AUCUCUCAACACAGACAAGUUUUACUACUUGUUCUGUUGCUUGGAUGUUGAAGGCUUGCUGGCAGUCUGACUGUCAGCUCCUUUUAAAUGUAUUAGCAGAAAAAUGCAGAACUGGCUUCAGUUUGAUAAAUGACUUAUCUGUGUUGCUGUUGCUAGGAUAAUGCAAAUCUUUUUGCUUCUAAUAGUCUCUUCAUGAGACUGUCUCAUUUGAGGCAUACAAUCUUGAC
rnacentral:misc_RNA from 1 species